rnacentral:lncRNA from 1 species
UAGUUUUUGGCCCUCCAUGGCACUGUAUGCUGCACUUCACUCUGUGCACCGCCUGGCUGUCUCACUGGAGUCCUGCUGUCUUUUUUCCACCAGUGCAUCCCUGCUGCACGGAACACAGUGGGAGGAAGAUUUAAUGGGAAAGGAAUGAAUGAACUGGAAAGGAACCCAGAAUCACCUUCUUCCCAUUUUUCUGUGCCCCCUGCCGAGAAACCAACCAAGACAAGGGGUCAGAAGAAGCACUGAGAAACCACUGGAGAAUUCACAAGGAUAGUCAAGGUUGACAGGGUCCAUGGAAAGACCCCUAAAAGUA